UACGAAGGGGGCUAGCGUUGUUCGGAAUUACUGGGCGUAAAGCGCACGUAGGCGGACAUGUAAGUUGGGGGUGAAAUCCCGGGGCUCAACCCCGGAAUUGCCUUCAAGACUGCAAGUCUGGAGGUCAGGAGAGGCGAGCGGUAUUUCGAGUGUAGAGGUGAAAUUCGUAGAUAUUCGGAGGAACACCAGUGGCGAAGGCGGCUCGCUGGACUGAUACUGACGCUGAGGUGCGAAAGCGUGGGGAGCAAACAGG
rnacentral:rRNA from 1 species